UACGUAGGGGGCAAGCGUUGUUCGGAAUUACUGGGCGUAAAGGGCGCGUAGGCGGCACGGCAAGUCAGGAGUGAAAGCCCGGGGCUCAACCCCGGAACGGCUUUUGAAACUGCCGAGCUAGAGUGCGGAAGAGGCAACUGGAAUUCCCAGUGUAGCGGUGAAAUGCGUAGAUAUUGGGAAGAACACCGGAGGCGAAGGCGGGUUGCUGGGCCGACACUGACGCUGAGGCGCGAAAGCCAGGGGAGCAAACGGG
rnacentral:rRNA from 1 species